ACAAAAGCCCAUGUGACAACAUUGAAAAAUAUAUAUAUAUUUUUUACAGUGAAUAAAACUGAUAGGGCUUGAUUAUACAGGUCUAAAAUUUCUUAUUAUAUAAUAACAAUAAAAUAUAAACAAUAUAAAAUAUACAAUGCUUACAGGUUUUUUUUACAAUCAUGUUUGCACUAAUAACAGAACCUUCAUGUCAUUUUUUUAAACUUUAGACACAUAAUUCACAACCAAUGAUUAAAAUGCACAUUUUUCAAAACACUUAACACUUUUUUUCAAAUGCUUGGAUACAUUUAAGCCAAAUAUCAUUUGUAAUGUAAUUUGUAAUUCGUAAUGUAGGCUAAUGUAACUCAUUUACAAAUUACUUCUAAGUGGAGUGUCUAUUCAUUUCUUUACAAAGAUCUAACUAUCAAUUGAUACAAUUGCUGAAAAUGAUGAGUAACUGUUGCAUUACUCUCGAUGCACAGCUUUUAUGAAAACUGAUUGGAGUCUCUAUUAAUGAGCUGAUGAUCUGCAUCAGGUGUGUUUGAUUAAGGAGACAUUGAAAACCUGCUGUGUUGGGGGGCCUACAGGAACGUGGUUAAAGGAUUUUUAGGCUGCAUUAAUUAUUACAACUGGAACCGGGAACACUUUCCAUAACACCCGAUGUACUUGCUACAUCGUUAGAAGAAUGGCAUCUACGCUAAUAUUAGUCUGUUUCUCUCUUAUUCCGAGGUCACCGUAGCCACCAGAUCCAGUCUGUAUCCAGACCAGAUGGUGGAUCAGCACCUAGAAAGGACCUCUACAGCCCUGAAAGACAGCGGAGACCAGGACUAGAGCCCCAGAGACAGAUCCCCUGUAAAGACCUUGUGUCAGACAACCACCGGGACAAGACCACAGGAAACAGAUGAUUCUUCUGCACAAUCUGACUUUGCUGCAGCCUGGAAUUGAACUGCUGGUUUCGUCUGGUCAGAGGAGAACUGGCCCCCGACUGAGCCUGGUUUCUCCCAAGGUUUUUUUCUCCAUUCUGUCACCGAUGGAGUUUUGGUUCCUUGCUGCUGUCGCCUCUGGCUUGCUUAGUUGGGGACACUUCAUUUACAGCGAUAUCAUUGACUUGAUUGCAAAUUAUUGCACAGAUACUAUUUAAACUGAACUGAGCUGCAUGAUGACAUCACUGAAUUCAAUGAUGAAAUGCCUUUAACUGAAAAAUUAGUGUUUUCUAUUGUCCUUCUGCAUUUUUGACACACUGUUUUCCUAAUUAAUGCUGUACAGUUGCUUUGACACAAUCUGUACUGUUAAAAGUGCUAUAUAAAUAAAGGUGAUGACUUGUCUUUGUCUUUUUAGAGGGUGAUGGAGCUGGAUGCUGAGGAAAACCAUCACAAAUUCAUAUGUUUGGAUGAUUCAGGCUUUAAUCUGGCCAAGACGUGGAGGAGAG
ensembl:lncRNA